rnacentral:tRNA from 1 species
GCGCCUGUAGCUCAAAUGGAUAGAGCGUCCCCCUCCUAAGGGGAAGGUUGAACGUUCAACUCGUUUCAGGCGCGCCA